GCCUCGAUAGUGUAGUGGUCAUCACGCCUGACAUGUAACCAGGGAGAUGUGGGCUCUUUCCCGCUCGGGACA
rnacentral:tRNA from 1 species